rnacentral:rRNA from 1 species
ACACAUGCAAGUCGAGGGGAAACGGCAUUAAGUGCUUGCACUUUUUGGACGUCGACCGGCGCACGGGUGAGUAACGCGUAUCCAACCUUCCCAUGACUAAGGGAUAACCUGCCGAAAGGCAGACUAAUACCUUAUAGUCUUCACUGACGGCAUCAGAUGUGAAGUAAAGAUUUAUCGGUUAUGGAUGGGGAUGCGUCUGAUUAGCUUGUUGGCGGGGUAACGGCCCACCAAGGCAACGAUCAGUAGGGGUUCUGAGAGGAAGGUCCCCCACAUUGGAACUGAGACACGGUCCAAACUCCUACGGGAGGCAGCAGUGAGGAAUAUUGGUCAAUGGGCGAGAGCCUGAACCAGCCAAGUAGCGUGCAGGAUGACGGCCCUAUGGGUUGUAAACUGCUUUUGUAUGGGGAUAAAGUCAAUCACGUGUGAUUGUUUGCAGGUACCAUACGAAUAAGGACCGGCUAAUUCCGUGCCAGCAGCCGCGGUAAUACGGAAGGUCCGGGCGUUAUCCGGAUUUAUUGGGUUUAAAGGGAGCGUAGGCUGGAGAUUAAGUGUGUUGUGAAAUGUAGACGCUCAACGUCUGACUUGCAGCGCAUACUGGUUUCCUUGAGUACGCACAACGUUGGCGGAAUUCGUCGUGUAGCGGUGAAAUGCUUAGAUAUGACGAAGAACUCCGAUUGCGAAGGCAGCUGACGGGAGCGCAACUGACGCUGAAGCUCGAAGGUGCGGGUAUCGAACAGGAUUAGAUACCCUGGUAGUCCGCACAGUAAACGAUGGA